rnacentral:rRNA from 1 species
UAAUACAGAGGGUGCGAGCGUUAAUCGGAGUUACUGGGCGUAAAGGGCGCGUAGGCGGUAGUACACGUGUGAUGUGAAAGCCCCGGGCUUAACCUGGGAAGUGCAUCGCAAACGAUAUUACUGGAGUAGAUGAGAGGGUGGCGGAAUUUCCGGUGUAGCGGUGAAAUGCGUAGAGAUCGGAAGGAACGUCGAUGGCGAAGGCAGCCACCUGGCAUCAUACUGACGCUGAGGCGCGAAAGCGUGGGGAGCAAACAGGAUUAGAUACCCUGGUAGUCCACGCUGUAAACGAUGAGAACUAGAUGUUGGUAGGGGAACCUAUCGGUAUCGAAGCUAACGCGAUAAGUUCUCCGCCUGGGAAGUACGGCCGCAAGGUUG